UACGGGGGGGGCAAGCGUUGUUCGGAAUUACUGAGCGUAAAGGGCUCGUAGGCGGCCAACUAAGUCAGACGUGAAAUCCCUCGGCUUAACCGGGGAACUGCGUCUGAUACUGGAUGGCUUGAGAUUGGGAGAGGGAUGCGGAAUUCCAGGUGUAGCGGUGAAAUGCGUAGAUAUCUGGAGGAACACCGGUGGCGAAGGCGGCAUCCUGGACCAACACUGACGCUGAGGAGCGAAAGCCAGGGGAGCAAACGGG
rnacentral:rRNA from 1 species